rnacentral:sRNA from 1 species
UAGAAUUUAAUAGAUCGAUCUACUGAAAUCCGUAUUGUUAGACAGGCUCAGAAAGCUUCAUUAAUAAUUUGCCUGGAAUUUUGGGCCGCACUUCAGUAACUACUAAAAAGAGAUGACAUUGUGCAUGUUGCUAUUUACUCUGCUGCAUGUAGGUUGUAGGCAGUAGGAUUACCCAGCUAGCCCACUUGUUGAAGGUGAUGAUAUUGUUGCUUGUUACUAGAUUUGCUACAUUAAAGUGAAAGGAGUCUUAAAUUUAGGUGCUUAUCUUUAUUGGAGUAGCUUCUUGCUGGACUGAGAGAACCAUGGGAUAUUUCUUGUUAAGUUUUGAUUGGACCGCCAUGAAAGUAAACACUCAACCAAAGUUA